AACGAACGCUGGCGGCAGGCUUAACACAUGCAAGUCGAGCGCCCCGCAAGGGGAGCGGCAGACGGGUGAGUAACGCGUGGGAAUCUACCCAUCUCUACGGAAUAACGCAUGGAAACGUGUGCUAAUACCGUAUACGUCCUUCGGGAGAAAGAUUUAUCGGAGAUGGAUGAGCCCGCGUUGGAUUAGCUAGUUGGUGGGGUAAAGGCCUACCAAGGCGACGAUCCAUAGCUGGUCUGAGAGGAUGAUCAGGCACACUGGGACUGAGACACGGCCCAGACUCCUACGGGAGGCAGCAGUGGGGAAUAUUGGACAAUGGGCGCAAGCCUGAUCCAGCCAUGCCGCGUGAGUGUUGAAGGCCCUAGGGUUGUAAAGCUCUUUCACCGGUGAAGAUAAUGACGGUAACCGGAGAAGAGGCCCCGGCUAACUUCGUGCCAGCCGCCGCAGUAAGAC
rnacentral:rRNA from 1 species